rnacentral:rRNA from 1 species
GGGGAAUAUUGGGCAAUGGGCGAAAGCCUGACCCAGCGACGCCGCGUGGGUGAUGAAGGCCUUCGGGUUGUAAAGCCCUUUCGUGCGGAAAGAAUAGCCCUGUAGCGAAUAACUGCAGGGUCUGACGGUACCGCAGGAAGAAGCACCGGCUAACUCUGUGCCAGCAGCCGCGGUAAUACGGAGGGUGCAAGCGUUGUUCGGAAUUAUUGGGCGUAAAGGGCGCGUAGGUGGUUGUGAUAGUCAGAUGUGAAAUCCUUUGGCUUAACUGAAGAACUGCAUCUGAAACUUCAUAACUCGAGUACAGGAGAGGGAGACGGAAUUCCCGGUGUAGAGGUGAAAUUCGUAGAUAUCGGGAGGAACACCAGUGGCGAAGGCGGUUUCCUGGCCUGAUACUGACACUGAGGCGCGAAAGCGUGGGGAGCAAAC